rnacentral:rRNA from 1 species
CCUACGGGGGGCAGCAGUGAGGAAUAUUGGUCAAUGGACGAGAGUCUGAACCAGCCAAGUAGCGUGAAGGAUGACUGCCCUAUGGGUUGUAAACUUCUUUUAUAUGGGAAUAAAAUGAGGCACGUGUGCCUUUUUGUAUGUACUAUAUGAAUAAGGAUCGGCUAACUCCGUGCCAGCAGCCGCGGUAAUACGGAGGAUCCGAGCGUUAUCCGGAUUUAUUGGGUUUAAAGGGAGCGUAGAUGGUUUGUUAAGUCAGUUGUGAAAGUUUGCGGCUCAACCGUAAAAUUGCAAUUGAUACUGGCAGUCUUGAGUACAGUAGAGGUAGGCGGAAUUCGUGGUGUAGCGGUGAAAUGCUUAGAUAUCACGAAGAACACCGAUUGCGAAGGCAGCUUACUAAACUGUGACUGACAUUGAGGCUCGAAAGUGUGGGUAUCAAACAGGAUUAGAUACCCUUGUAGUC